rnacentral:rRNA from 1 species
GAUGAACGCUAGCGGCAGGCCUAAUACAUGCAAGUCGAACGGAUAUAUGUUUUUCGGAAUAUAUAUUAGUGGCGCACGGGUGAGUAACACGUACAUAACUUGCCCUCAAGCGGGGGAUAGCCUUGGGAAACUGAGAGUAAUACCCCAUAGAAUUAUUGGACGGCAUCGUUUGAUAAUUAAAACUACGGUGCCUGGGGAUAGAUGUGCGUCUGAUUAGCUAGUUGGUGAGGUAACUGCUCACCAAGGCGACGAUCAGUAGGGGGCGUGAGAGCGUGGCCCCCCACACGGGUACUGAGACACGGACCCGACUCCUACGGGAGGCAGCAGUAAGGAAUAUUGGUCAAUGGAGGGAACUCUGAACCAGCCAUGCCGCGUGAAGGAUGACGGCCCUCUGGGUUGUAAACUUCUUUUGGAUGGGGCGAAAAAACGGGAUUUAUCCUGGACUGACGGUACCAUCAGAAUAAGCACCGGCUAACUCCGUGCCAGCAGCCGCGGU